AUUGAACGCUGGCGGCAGGCCUAACACAUGCAAGUCGAACGGUAGCACAGAGAGCUUGCUCUCGGGUGACGAGUGGCGGACGGGUGAGUAAUGUCUGGGAAACUGCCCGAUGGAGGGGGAUAACUACUGGAAACGGUAGCUAAUACCGCAUAACGUCGCAAGACCAAAGGGGGGGAGCUUCGGGCCUCACACAAUGGGAUGGGCCCAGAUGGGAUUAGCGAGUAGGUGGGGUAAUGGCUCACCUAGGCGACGAUCCCUCGCGGGUCUGAGAGGAUGACCAGCCACACUGGAACUGAGACACGGUCCAGACUCCUACGGGAGGCAGCAGUGGGGAAUAUUGCACAAUGGGCGCAAGCCUGAUGCAGCCAUGCCGCGUGUAUGAAGAAGGCCUUCGGGUUGUAAAGUACUUUCAGCGGGGAUGAAGGCGGUGAAGUUAAUAGCUUCACCGAUUGACGUUACCCGCAGAAGAAGCACCGGCUAACUCCGUGCCAGCAGCCGCCGUAA
rnacentral:rRNA from 1 species